UACCAACUGCCAUUUGGAUGCUUAUAUCCUCAUUGUUGUUUAUAAUUUUGCAAAUAUUUUUCCUGUUGUAAAAAUGGGUUACUACUAAUUAUUAGUGAUCGUUAAUUUAUUGAAAUUUGAAUUGAAACGUGACCUUCGACAUGUUUGUUCAUGUCCUUUGAACGCCUGUAGGUCAUUGGUACAUACGUACCUAGCGCCAUUGCGUAUUUCGUCUGCUAUUCAUACAAAGCGGUGCAGGCGGGAUUUCCUUCAAUACGCAGUAUGACAAUAAAAGCCAGUAUGUAUCAUCAUCAUCAUCUCUCGAGCCUUUUUCCAACUAACCGUCGGCUUCCAGUCUAACGGGAUGUAGCUGAGUACCAGUGUUUUACAAGAAGCCUAUGUUACCUCCUCAACCCAGUUACCUGAGCUACCCAAUACCCCUCGGUAACACUAGAAUAAAAACCAGCAUGUAUUUUUCAAAUAUUUUAUUUUAUAAAUUAAAAAUAUAAUAACCUAAUUAGACAGAGGCCAUGUACCAGUUAUGUACAACGUUGGUACAUGGCCCAGACUUAAAGACUUAAUAAAAUGGACAAUAUCUAACUAUAUAUAUGACUUAUUUUGUAAAAUAUAAAAUGACUACCUGAAUGCACUUAGAA